UUGUGAUUUCCGCGCUUUACAGGACUUGGAGACACCGGGCCUGGAGAAAUUCACCGCCGUGCGCCAAGACCACCUUCGUCUCCAUCGACUUGUCGAAUCUCAUCCAGAAGGUUUCAAUCUCAAGUCAAUCCAUCAUUUUACAUCGAGUUCCUGUAGGACACGUUGGAGUAGGAGGUGCUCUUUUCAAAACCAACACUACAGGUUGUCAUCUGAAGUUGUCGCUUAUUAUU